GAUGAACGCUAGCGGCAGGCCUAAUACAUGCAAGUCGGACGGGAUUCAGGAGCUUGCUUCUGCUGAGAGUGGCGCACGGGUGCGUAACACGUAUGUAACCUACCUUUAUCAGGGGGAUAGCCUCUCGAAAGAGAGAUUAAGCCCGCAUAAAAUCACAGCACAGCAUUGUGUAAUGAUCAAAUAUUUAUAGGAUAACGAUGGGCAUGCGGAACAUUAGCUAGAUGGCGGGGUAACGGCCCACCAUGGCGACGAUGUUUAGGGGAUCUGAGAGGAUGGCCCCCCACACUGGUACUGAGACACGGACCAGACUCCUACGGGAGGCAGCAGUAAGGAAUAUUGGUCAAUGGGCGGAAGCCUGAACCAGCCAUGCCGCGUGCAGGAAGACGGCCCUACGGGUUGUAAACUGCUUUUAUACGGGAAUAAACCCAGAUACGUGUAUCUGGCUGAAUGUACUGUAAGAAUAAGGAUCGGCUAACUCCGUG
rnacentral:rRNA from 1 species